rnacentral:lncRNA from 1 species
AUGAACUUUCCUUUCUAUUCUGUAUUGAGAUGGACAUACAAUUCUUGUGAGCUGCUGUUCUCACCAGGUUCCUGUAUAAACUGGAAGCUCCCCUCAGAGGUACCCAGUGCUUUGACUGAAAUUGCCAUGGAUUUGUAUGAAGCCCAUGACCCCCAUAGGUUGGAAAGGCACGCCAUUGUUUCUUGUUUGGAACUGGAUUUGUGAAAUGAAAGCGUACAGUUCCUCACUUCUGAAAUGGCAGAGAAGCAGGUAUCUGCCUGGAGGAAAUUAAGGGUAAGAGAGCUAUUUUUUGCUUACCUCCUUUUAAUUGCAGUUACUAAGCUUAAAUUUUUUGCUAGCCUGCUUGAAAAUAUCUACUGCACAUUUUUCCUUAUGUGAAAAUGUGUCUAAAUGCUUCUCUCAGAUUAAGUAGAGGCCAGUAUCUUGGGAGAAUGAGGUUUUCGCAUACUAAGUUCCACCUAUGGUGAGGGAUACCUUCUCAUAAUCUCUAAAAGGGACCUCUGGAACUUCGGAAGAGAUAUCCUAAGGCCUAUUUGUGUCCUCCCAGAAUGGUUUGUCUGGCCUUCUCUCGCUGAACUUUCCCUUAGGCAUUACUUAGAAAUAGGCUGUGAGCUAGAUGGGCUGGUAGGAGAAGCUACAAAAUGCCAGCCAGCUUUCCCAGGCUUUCCUGUCCUUACUAAAAGCAAGUAUGUGUUGCACGGUACCUGUUCAGUAAAGCAAAUGCUUUAGGCCAACUCUUCCUCCAUUUUACAAUCAGCCUAGGUAAUUUUGGCUUUGUUACAGGGAAGGAACUCUAGUAUGCAGCUUUUGCCUGCCAUGGGAUGAAGGUGCGUGGCUUACUUGGCUGGAACACGUGAAUAUUGCUAAUGUAGAAUAAAUCUCUGCUUAAGACAACA